rnacentral:rRNA from 1 species
GGAUGAGGGAAGCUUGCUUCCCGAUUUAGCGGCGGACGGGUGAGUAAUGCCUAGGAAUCUGCCUAUUAGUGGGGGAUAACGUUCCGAAAGGAACGCUAAUACCGCAUACGUCCUACGGGAGAAAGUGGGGGAUCUUCGGACCUCACGCUAAUAGAUGAGCCUAGGUCGGAUUAGCUAGUUGGUGGGGUAACGGCUCACCAAGGCGACGAUCCGUAGCUGGUCUGAGAGGAUGAUCAGCCACACUGGAACUGAGACACGGUCCAGACUCCUACGGGAGGCAGCAGUGGGGAAUAUUGGACAAUGGGCGAAAGCCUGAUCCAGCCAUGCCGCGUGUGUGAAGAAGGUCUUCGGAUUGUAAAGCACUUUAAGUUGGGAGGAAGGGUUGUAAGCUAAUAUCUUGCAGCUUUGACGUUACCAACAGAAUAAGCACCGGCUAACUCUGUGCCAGCAGCCGCGGUAAUACAGAGGGUGCAAGCGUUAAUCGGAAUUACUGG